rnacentral:rRNA from 1 species
UACAGAGGUCUCAAGCGUUGUUCGGAUUCAUUGGGCGUAAAGGGCGCGUAGGCGGCGGGGUAAGUCGGGUGUGAAAUCUCAGAGCUCAACUCUGAAACUGCACUCGAUACUGCUCUGCUUGAGGACUGGAGAGGAGACUGGAAUUCACGGUGUAGCAGUGAAAUGCGUAGAUAUCGUGAGGAAGACCAGUGGCGAAGGCGAAUCUCUGGACAGUAACUGACGCUGAGGCACGAAGGCUAGGGGAGCAAACGGG